rnacentral:rRNA from 1 species
AUAUUACUAAGCGGAGGAAAAGAAAUUAACAAAGAUUCCUCUAGUAACGGCGAGUGAACGGGGAAAAGCCCAGCGCUGAAUCCCUCGGCUUCUAGUCGCGGGGAAAUGUGGCGUAUAGGUGCGGUUAUCCGACGCGGCUGCCUACUCAAAGUCCCUUUGACUGGGGCCACAGAUCCGAGAAGGUGCAAGUCCUGUACGAGUGGCGGCGGUGUCGGUCGAUCGUUCCUUGGAGUCGGGUUGCCUGAGAACGCAGCCUUAAGCGGGUGGUAAACUUCAUUUAAGGCUAAAUAUGGCUACGAGACCGAUAGCAAACAAGUACCGUGAGGGAAAGUUGCAAAGAACUUUGAAGAGAGAGUUCAAGAGUGCGUGAAACCACUGGAGUCGAAACGGAUAGCGUUGACGUAACGGGGCAGCAUUCAACCGAUCCCUCGGGCUCGGUGCACUUGUUGCCCGUAAGCGCUGAGUGCGUUGACGGCGUGCGUCGAACCGACACGUGUUGCCCACCUCGGUGGUGUCUUGCGUGUCGGGGAGGUGUGUCGCGGCUAACGUUAUUCGGUGUGCAAGUCAAUCACCUAUCCGA